rnacentral:rRNA from 1 species
AUCAGCUUGUUGGUGAGGUAGUGGCUCACCAAGGCGACGACGGAUAGGGGACCUGAGAGGGUGACCCCCCACACUGGUACUGACACACGGACCAGACUUCUACGGAAGGCAGCAGUAAGGAAUAUUGCGCAAUGGACGAAAGCCUGACGCAGCAACGCCGCGUGCGGGAAGAAGGGCUUCGGCUCGUAAACCGCUUUUCUGCGGGAAGAGCAAGGACGGUACCGCAGGAAUAAGUCUCGGCUAACUACGUGCCAGCAGCCGCGGUAAAACGUAGGAGGCAAACGUUAUCCGGAUUUACUGGGCGUAAAGCGCGUGCAGGUGGCCCAUUAAGUCGUGCGUGAAAGCUCCCUGGCUCAACCGGGAGAGGUCGUGCGAUACUGCUGGGCUUGAGACAGAGAGAGGCAAGUGGAAUUCCGGGUGUAGUGGUGAAAUGCGUAGAUAUCCGGAGGAACACCAGUGGCGAAGGCGGCUUGCUGGCUCUGUUCUGACACUCAGACGCGAAAGCAUGGGGAGCGAACGGGAUUAGAAACCCCGGUAGUCCAUGCCGU